GUUCUUACCAUGCAGUCGAGCGGAAGGCCUUUCGGGGUACUCGAGCGGCGAACGGGUGAGUAACACGUGAGUAACCUGCCCCUGGCUUUGGGAUAACCAUCGGAAACGGUGGCUAAUACCGAAUAUUCACUGCGGAUCGCAUGGUCUGUUGUGGAAAGUUUUUCGGCUGGGGAUGGGCUCGCGGCCUAUCAGCUUGUUGGUGGGGUGAUGGCCUACCAAGGCUUUGACGGGUAGCCGGCCUGAGAGGGCGACCGGCCACACUGGGACUGAGACACGGCCCAGACUCCUACGGGAGGCAGCAGUGGGGAAUAUUGCACAAUGGGCGGAAGCCUGAUGCAGCGACGCCGCGUGAGGGAUGACGGCCUUCGGGUUGUAAACCUCUUUCAGCAGGGACGAAGCGAAAGUGACGGUACCUGCAGAAGAAGCGCCGGCCAACUACGUGCCAGCAGCCGCGGUAAGACGUAGGGCGCGAGCGUUGUCCGGAUUUAUUGGGCGUAAAGAGCUCGUAGGCGGCUUGUUGCGUCGUCCGUGAAAACCUGGGGCUCAACUCCAGGCUUGCGGUCGAUACGGGCAGGCUAGAGUUCGGUAGGGGAGACUGGAAUUCCUGGUGUAGCGGUGAAAUGCGCAGAUAUCAGGAGGAACACCGGUGGCGAAGGCGGGUCUCUGGGCCGAUACUGACGCUGAGGAGCGAAAGCGUGGGGAGCGAACAGGAUUAGAUACCCUGGUAGUCCACGCUGUAAACGUUGGGCGCUAGGU
rnacentral:rRNA from 1 species